CCGACCGUACACAGAGAUCGGCACUAUUGAUGAAAUGUUAUUGUGAAACGCUACAGUUCGGUAGCUUUUCGCGAUAUUUCACGUUUUCACAGAAGGUGUAGGUAUUAAAAUCGUGCAAAAUUAAGCAUUAUUACAUAUAAAUAUAUGUAGUUGGAUUUUAUGCCUGUUAAUUUUGAAGAAUAACGUUUUAAACAACUGCGUUGUAUUAAACACCCUAUUGGGUAAUACAGAAAAUUUAACAAAAUUUAAAGUUGUCAUGUUAAGAGGAUUUUAGCAAGUGUGUGUUUUAAAUGACGAUGUUUAAUACUGAAAAGUCAAACUGAUUAAUUAUCGUUUCCUAUGUAGAUGCAUUAAAAUGAAUGACUUUCAGCAUAAUAUUAUUUAAAAGCAUUAUUAUUAUGUGCUCAUCGGCCAAUUUUAUAAUGUCACCGUGCUAGAAAAGCAUGGAAUAACGUACAUGUGAGUAACUGUCCAUAAUGAUAAGACUUGGAGUACUCAUGCAACGUUGGAGUAAACUUUUAUGCAAUACCUUCUACCUCAUUAUUGCAGUUUGCGUCCAUCCGUCUGUCGGUGGUGCAUGCUGGAAGUAUAUCGACAAUACAACUCAUCUUUGUAAAAAGACAUUCGGAUUAAAUAUGACUUUCGAGGAGUGUUGCGGAGUUAAAGGACUAGCGACGGUCUCGUGGUCCCCUCACGACAUAUCUAGCGAUAUCUUCUAUUGGAACUUCCUGUCUAAGGGGGCAAGCAUGUGCCAAAGGUGCCAUAGUGAAAAAUUGUUCUUCACUUGUAUGUGAACAAGGAAAGGCUUGCCGUAUGGUAAACGGGCUUCCGAUUUGUAUUUGCAAACCUCAGUGUGAUAAAACUUUAAAAUCACGAGGUGCAUUGUGCGGUACGGACGGACAAAAGUACAGGCAUUAUUGUGCUCUACAAAGAUACAACUGUGUAGCAGAGCGACAAAUAUCAGUUGAAUAUUUCGGAAAAUGUCGAAGUAAAUUCUUGUAAACGAGUCGAGUGUGAGACAGGAAAGCAUUGCUUACAGGACCAGAAUGGGGCUCCACAUUGUAUACCGUGUCAUGAACAUUGUGACUCGAUCACGCCCAACAACCCAGAAGAUUACAUGUGCGGCGAAAACGGAAAAACAUACAGAAGCACAUGUGAACUAAAAGCUGAUAUAUGUAAAACUGGGAGAAGUAUACGAAUAUCUCAUUCUGGAAAGUGUACUGCUCAUGAGAAUUGUAAAACAUUGGCGUGUCCGCGUGGGACAACAUGUUUGGUCAGUGCAGUAAGCGGUAAACCUGUUUGUAUGAACUGUUAUCGAAACGCAAGUUGUUUACAUACAAACGUCCCGAUUUGUGGAACAGAUAAAAAGACAUACUCUAGUUAUUGUAGAAUGCUGAAGUCGGGCUGUCGUUCAGGUGUUUUUGUGUCAACUCUACGCAGAGGUCCUUGUAGACGACACCAGAAACGAAAAAAGUUAUCAAAAGGACACUAGGAAGAUUAUUCAACCAUUUUGGUCCAACAACAGCCGAGGAUCUAUCAGCGAGUUUCGUUCUUGUUCUUUGGACAGUAAACUGAAUGUCAUUUGAAGAUCUUUAUCUGUAUUUUGCUUUAGCACACUUUAACAAAACACUCAGAUAAGUUGGAGCUUUUCCUUUCACAGUACAAAAAACAAAAACAAGAAUGUUGAACAUAAUUCUAGGCCUUACAGGCAGCCGAUGAAGAGAUUUUAGAAUUUCUGUUGUAGGAUGACCAUCUCGAGCAUUGGUAACAAUACUAGCUGCUUGGUUUUGCACUCUCUGAAGUCUGUUGAUCUGAUUGGCAGGGAUAUCGGUGAAAAGGCCAUUGCAAAAGUCAAAAUGAAAUUGAAUAAGGCCAUGCGCCGUGAUCUAUGUGGACUUUUGUGAUAGAUGUAAACGAAUGUUUUUCAGAUUUCUUAGCUGGACAUGCGCAGUUUGACAUUUCAUUCUUAUAUGCAUAUCGAAACUGUGAUUUCUGCCUUUUCGUUCUGGCAUGUCGGUGCCCUCCAAACGCGUCAAUAAGCCAAACCGACAAAUAAGCGCGAUAGUUUGUUGUUCUUACGUGUUGGCGCUUUUCAAACGUGCCAACACGUCAGAAUGAAAUGGCAGAAAUCAGCCACCAUGAAAAGAGGAACAGUGUACUCGUGGCUUCCAGAACGAUUUUAUGCAAUGAACAUAAAAAUGCAGUAAUUUUGUGCCAACAUUUUAUUCGAUGCCAUAACUUACUUCUCGAAUAUUUUUUGCUGUUUCAGCUGUUGAAAUUCAAAAUAUGUUGCAUUCGAUCUAAAUUAGAAUAUAUGCAUUGAAUAAAGCAGGGAUCGCAAUUAAACUCAGUUUGUUUAGUCCUCAUUUCAAUUAAUCUGUUUUGAACUUAUUUUCAGGUAAACUAAAUACUUUUGAAACGAAUAAAAGAAAUGUGAAAAAGCGAAUACGACGGCGGCAUAGACGGCAUAAGAGAAAUAGACGGCAUCGCAGAAAGAGCAAACGUCGCAAACAAAAGAAAAAAGAAAAAAAUCAUAACACUGUUUCAUAUAAAACUAAUACUUUAUAUGAUAAAAGAAAAAACAGGCAUUUUGGUAGACGGGAAGGUUUCGAAGUAACAAGGACCGCAUCAUGACUGUGUCCGGAUCGCAGGCAUUUUCACGAGGAAACUGUGACAGAGUUAAGCGAAGAUCUAUCAUCACUUACAUUUGUUAUAGGAAAUGAAACUAAACAUAGAAUACAAUGAUACACUUAACCGUGUGAUAUUGAAUACCGUGAGAUGUUCUUCGAGGAAAUGGGAAAGCUAUCUUUGCUAAUGAUUAUUGCAUACUAAACAUUUAUUGCAGAAUCGGUAGACACAACAUGUUGACAGCCAGAUGUGUCACUGACAUUGUUAGAUUCAUCGGAAUCCAUUCUACUUUAUUUUUCAUCAAAUAUUUUCCAUUUGGAUGACAAUUCAAAAGAAUCGCAUCAAAUACAUUAAUAUACAUGCACUUAAACAUUUACUUCAUUUAAGUUGUAAAUAAAAUGUAUACUUGUAAAUUCAUAUUGAUAUUUUUAAACUUGUUCACAACCACCAUAACUAUGAAUGUAAUGAUUUAUGGGUAGUUGUCAAAAACGAGGCAAGGGUUGACACAUUAUUAGCAGACGUACCAACUCAGUGAAAGAGUGCUACCACAUUUAAUCUACCAGUUUACAUAAAAGACGUUUCAAAAUCGAAAUCAUAUAACACAACGGUAAUAUGCUUAUUUAACACACUGUUUCGAUUAUUAGGCGCGUAGAAUAUCUCACUAGACGUCUACGCACACGUAAGUUAUUCAAAAGGGUGUUUUAUUUCCCGCCCUCGUGAAAUUAUUCCGAUGGCAACUCAACUUUAAAGUGGAGCGUAUCCAUUUGAGCGUAUCCAUUUGAUUUAACCUGAAAUAUAUUGGCAGGCAUAAGAUGUUACAGACUUAGUUUGCGGAAGAGCCGUCAUGUGUAUAACGAAGUUUCGUAAAUGUUUUCUAACUGACCGCUUUAUCUCACGAAAUAUGACUCAGUAUGUGUAAAGAACAGAUAGUGGAGCUGUAUAAGCUUCUCUCCUGUUGUCAUGUCUCAUAUUAAUAAAUGGAAAGAUAUCUUGUAAUGUUAGAACAUACAUUUUGUAUCUAACUUAAAGGGUUUUAUUGCCAUUUAUAACAUUGUGUUCUGCUAUUAUUGUAUGGCAAAUCAUAUGGAAAAUCCUUUCAGUUGUGGCAAUAAAAUUGCUGCUAGUUCUACACAAAUGUCUUGUGAGCCAAUGUUUACAUAUGUGUUAUUAUAAAAUAAAUAAACAUAAUGUG